rnacentral:ncRNA from 1 species
UUAAAGAUACUUGCGUCCAGUCCCAGGUCGAGCGUUGAAGCGGAGAACCCGCGAGCCGUCGCAACUAAGGAGGGCGCCCCGGUGAGAACCACGGGGAGGUGAGAGUCCUAUGA